CCUACGGGUGGCAGCAGUGAGGAAUAUUGGUCAAUGGACGCAAGCCUGAACCAGCCAUGCCGCGUGCAGGAUGACGGCCCUAUGAGUUGUAAACUGCUUUUGUACGAGGGUAAAGUGCGACACGUGUACCGGGUUGAAAGUACCGUACGAAUAAGGAUCGGCUAACUCCGUGCCAGCAGCCGCGGUAAUACGGAGGAUCCGAGCGUUAUCCGGAUUUAUUGGGUUUAAAGGGUGCGUAGGCGGUUUGAUAAGUUAGAGGUGAAAUUUCGGGGCUCAACCCCGAAACUGCCUUUGAUACUGGUAGACUAGAGAAUAGUUGCGGUAGGCGGAAUGUGUGGUGUAGCGGUGAAAUGCUUAGAGAUCAUGCAGAACUCCGAUUGUGAAGGCAGCUUACCAAACUAUAACUGACGUUGAAGCACGAAAGCGUGGGUAGCAAACAGGAUUAGAUACCCGAGUAGUC
rnacentral:rRNA from 1 species